AAUUGCUGACGUGGCUGUGCAUGUUGUUGUUGAAGUAACUGUUGCUGUGUUUGAACUACUUCGAUCAGAGUUUGCAUUAGUUGAGUCAUGUUCGGCUCCUCCUGUACUGUCGGAGUAUUUUCGAUAGGAUCAUGGAUUCCCUCCUGCUGUGUUGUGCCACUGUUUAAUUGGGGAGUAUUAUCGCCAAGUGGAUUUGAUGUCCCUCCUACCGCUCCUUGAGUAUUCCUCGCUCAUCGUGGAGGCAUAUUGACCUAUGUUAGAUUUGAGAUAAUAACUUAUCCUUAAUAAGGUUAUAACUUGUGAUAGGUCAAAUCAUAAUCAUCAUAACUAACCUUUCCAUUUCCUAAUGUCUACCCAUCACUCGCUCACUUUAUUCUACAUGUCUCUAUCUAUCUACUUAUGCUCUGAUACCAUAUUAAUUGUCACGCCCCCGACCC
rnacentral:lncRNA from 1 species